rnacentral:tRNA from 1 species
GUCCUCUUCGUCUAUCGGUUAGGACGUGACUCUUUCAAGGUCAAAAGACGGGUUCAACUCCCGUAGAGGAUA